UACAGAGGUCUCAAGCGUUGUUCGGAUUCAUUGGGCGUAAAGGGUGCGUAGGCGGCGCGGUAAGUCGGGUGUGAAAUCUUGGAGCUUAACUCCGAAACUGCAUUCGAUACUGGCGUGCUUGAGGACUGGAGAGGAGACUGGAAUUCAUGGUGUAGCAGUGAAAUGCGUAGAGAUCAUGAGGAAGACCAGUGGCGAAGGCGGGUCUCUGGACAGUUCCUGACGCUGAGGCACGAAGGCCAGGGGAGCAAACGGG
rnacentral:rRNA from 1 species